UGCCAGCAGCCGCGGUAAUGCGGAAGGUGCGAGCGUUAAUCGGAAUUACUGGGCGGAAAGGGCGCGUAGGCGGCUUGGUAAGUCGGAUGUGAAAGCCCCGGGCUUAACCUGGGAAUUGCAUUCGAUACUGCCCGGCUAGAGUAUGGUAGAGGAAAGCGGAAUUCCGGGUGUAGCGGUGAAAUGCGUAGAUAUCCGGAGGAACACCUGUGGCGAAGGCGGCCACUUGGACGGGUACUGACGCUGAGGCGCGAAAGCGUGGGGAGCAAACAGGAUUAGAUA
rnacentral:rRNA from 1 species